GCCUGCACCACAGCCCGGGCUAAAGGCACCAGAUCCCAUUUGAUCUUGGAAGCUAAGCAGGGUCAGUCCUGGUCAUUACACGGAUGGGAGCCUAUCAACAAAUACCAAGUGCUAUAGGCU
rnacentral:rRNA from 11 species